UUUUUUUUUUUUUUUUUUUUUUUUUUUUUUGUCUUUUUGCCAUUUCUUGGGCCGCUCCCUCAGCAUAUGGACAUUCCCAGGCUAGGGGUCGAAUUGGAGCUGUAGCCACCGGCCUACGCCAGAGCCGCAGCAACGCGGGAUCUGAGCCGCCUCUGCAACCUACACCACAGUUCACGGCAACGCCGGAUCCUUAACCCACUGAGCAAGGCCAGGGAUGGAACCCGCAACCUCAUGGCUCCUAGUCAGAUUUGUUAACCACUGCUCCACGAUGGGAACUCUAUCAGUAUCUUUGACAUUGCACAAAAUCCAUGCAGACUGGUUGGAAAAAGAAGGCUGACUAUUGAGACUCCUGGAACAGCACCAUGUUAUCUCCCAACAAACCAAAUUAAGGAGGGUUACACACCCUGCAGCCUCCCCCUAAAAUUUUGCCUAUAAAACUUCUUUCCUGAAACCCAUCAGGGAGUUCCAGUCUUUUGAGCAAGAGCAACCCUAUUCUCCUUGCAUGACCUUUGUAAUAAAUAAAUCUUUAUCUGCUCCAAACUCUGACAUUUCAAUUCUUUUAGCCUCACUGUGUGUCAGGCACAUAAACUUAGUUUUGACAACAUUAAUAACUUUUAAGAUCUCCUAUUAGCAACCUUCAAAUAUACACUAAAUUAUCAUUGUAUAUGGUCACCAUGCUAUCCAUCAUAUCCCCAGAAAUUACUUAUAUUUUUCAAAUAUAGUUGAUUUACAAUAUUGGGUUAGUUUCAGGUAUACAACAAAGUGAAUCAGUUUUUUAAAUCAGAUUAUAUUCUAUUAUAGGUUAUUAUAAGAUUUUGAAUAUAAUUAUGUAUGUUAUACAGUAAAUCCUUGUUGCUUAUAUAUUUUAUGUAUAGUAGCUUGUAUCUGUUAAUCCUAUGCCCCUAAUUUGUCCCUCCCUCUCUGUUUUUUGGUAACUAUAAAUUUGUUUUCUGUGUCUGAGUCUGUCUCUGUUUGUAUAUAGACUCACUGGUAUAACUUUUAGACUUCACAUAUAAGUGACAUCAUAUAGUAUUUGGCUUUUCUUUGUCUGACUGACUUAGUAUGAUAAUCUCUAGGUCCGGUUUGGGACAAGAUGAUGCAAUAGAAUGACUUAAGCUCAUCUUCUGCAUGAAAACACCAAACUUACAACUAACUGCUGAACAAUCAUCAAUAAAACAGUAUGGAGAUUCCUCAGAAAACCAAAGCUAGAAUUACCAUUUGAUCCAGCAAUCCCAUUUCUGGGCAUCUAUCCAGAGAAAAUCAUGACUCAAAAAGACACAUGUACUCCAAUGUUCAAUGAAGUACUAUAUAUAAUAGCCAAGGCUUGGAAACAAACUAAAUGUCCAUCGACAGAGGAGUGGAUAAAGAAAAUGUAGAACAUAUUACACAAUGGAAUAUUCCUCAGCUAUUAAAAGGAAAGAAAUAACAGCAUUUGCAGCAAUAUGGAUGGACCUAGAAAUUAUCAUGCUAAGUGAAGUUAGACAGUGAGACACCAAUAUCAUAUGCUAUCACUUACAUGUGGAAUCUAAAAAAAGGGCACAAUGAUCUUUGCAGAACAGAUACUGACUCCCAGACUUUGAAAAACGUAUGGUCUUCAAAGGAGACAGGUUGUGGGGUGGGGGGAUGCACUGGAGGUAUGGGAUGUAAAUGUUAUAAAAUUUGGUUGUGAUGCUCAUUGUACAACUGUAAAUGUAAUAAAAUUUAUUUUUAAGAGUUAGCAUACUUUAGUAAUAAAGUAUUUUAAUUAAAGUAUGUGCUUUUUGGGAGUUCCCUUCUUGGCUCAUUGAACACGAACCUGAGUAGUACCCAUGAGGACAAGGGUUCGAUCCCUGGCCUCCCUCAGUGGUCUAAGGAUCUGGCAUGGCUGUGAGCUGUGGUGUAGGCUGCAGAUGCAGCUUGGAUCCUGUAUUGCUGUGGCUGUAGUGUAGGCUGGCAGCUGCAGCUCUGAUUUGACUUCUAGCCUGGGAACUUCAUGUGCUGCAGGUUUGGCCCUAGGAAAAAAGAGUAUGUACUUUGUUUUAGACACAGUACUAUUGCACACUAAUUAGAUGAGAGUAUAGCGUAAAUAUAACUUUCACAUGCCCUGGGAAACCAAAUAAAAAUUGUGUGACUCACUUUACUACAAUAUUUGCCUUAUUGAGGUGGUCCAGAAUCAAACCUGCAAUAUCUUCAAGAUAUGCCUGGAUAAGAAUCCCCCAAAAGGCUGUAAGUGGAUUUCUCAGUAGAAACCUUGAAGGCCAGAAGAGAGUGAGAUAACAUAUUCUAAAUGUUAAAAGAAAAAAACUGCAAGCUAAGAAAACUUCACUCCUCAAAGAAAUGAAGGUAAGAUAAGGAUAUUUCCAGUCAAGCAAAAGCUGAGGGAAGUUUAUCAUCAUUAAAUCUGCAUUACAAGAAAAGGUAAAGGGGAUUCUUAAAGCCUAAACAAAAAGAUGCUGAUAAGUAACAUCAAAACUAAUGAAAAUAGAAACUCACUGGUAGGAGUUCCCUGGUGGCCUAGUGGUUAAGGAACCAGUAUUGUCACUGCUGUGGUGUCUCUGGCAUGACUUUAAUCCCUGGCCCUGGAACUUCCACAAGCCAUGGGCUUGGCAAAACAAACAGGAGUUCCCAUUGUGGCCUCAGCGGUAACAAACACAACUAUUAUCCAUGAGGACUCGGGUUCAAUCCCUGGCCUCUUUCAGUGGGUUAAAGAUCUGAUGUUGCUGUGAGCUCUGUUGUAAGUCACAGAUGUGGCUCAGAUCCUGCAUUGCUGUGGCUUUAGCAUAGGGUGGCAGCUAUAGCUCCAAUUUGACCCCUAGCCCAGGAAUUUCCAUAUGCCACAGGUGUGGCCUAAAAAGCAAAACAAACAAACCAAAAAAGAAAAAAAA
rnacentral:lncRNA from 1 species